CCUCUCCACUUCUCUCUCUCCCCGAGCCGACCCCGACUCCGACCCCGUCCUAUUCUCCUUGGCGAAGCGCCGUCGUCCGGCCACAGCAGACCCCCGCGUCGGUUCCAUUCGGCAGCUGGGACGUCGCUCGUCCUUCCUGGGUUGGUAGCCGGCCUCAUCUCGCCGGCAGCGGCUCACGGUGGCACUGUGAAGGCCGUUGGUUUUGUAAGCCGGAACUUUCUUCUCCGGCCACCGAUUCAAGGACGAGAGGAGACACCACGUGAGGAGGGCUCUGACCGACGUCAGGCUUAGCCGUCAAUAUUAUUGCAGAGCUCCUGUUCGGUUUCCUUAGGAAUUGAGGCAUAGUUUUCCCGCUGCUCCUUGCUGAUCGUAGGUUACCUGUUAACCUAUGUGUAGUUGUUUUAUUUUCCUUCCUUAGUGCUCUGAGAACCAUGGGAUGAUGUAAAUUAAGUUGAAGUGUUUUUCUUUAGGACUAUGUCUCAUGUAGAGAGUUUAAUCUUGGUUGAUGUUAAUGUUAAUUAAUGUAGUUGAGUAUCUGGUUUGGUUGUUAAGUACUGCUAUGUCUUU